AGAGCAAAUAUUAGAGAGAUGAUCAUUGAAAAGCUAACAGUCCUUGACCAGACAAGAGUAGUAAAGAUCGCUGGAAAAUGGUCACCAGACAGUAUGCUAGCAGUGGUUAACAAGGCACCAUCUACAAUGUGAACCAACACCAUCACAGACCUCAACAAGUUCAAUACCACAGCUUUAGUGGUCCUACAACAGCUUUAUUACAUGAUCGGGCUAAGAGAAAAAUGGAGACUAAGACUGGACGCUAAGAUAAAAGCAACACAUACGGAAGUUAGUAAGCUGGAGGAGGGAAGAUCAACUUCACAGAGGAGGGAAGAUCAAUGACAGAACCUAACUGCCGAGGAAAUGCAAGGAUCAGCUGAUAGCAGAGGCUGUGGAAACAGCUAAUCAAAGGCUGACAGCAAUCAGAGUGAGCAGAUAU